UUUGUAUAAUUUGUGUGUUUGAUGGGCUUCUUUCUGUGUACUAAUAUGAGUCGGACUCGUUAGUCUCAUAAUAAAUGCCGAUUGAAGGACACAAUUUUUGGGACCAGCUUGACCAAACCAUGUAAUCUACGAAAACUGUAUAAGUUGUACCAGAGUUGUUACUGUGUCAUUCAAAAUCCAAUCAAAUGAAUGUUGUUGACAAAAGCUAUUACAUAAGAUAAGCUCAAUAAUAUGGCAUGGCUUCACAUUUUAUUCGUCAAUCUAAUUUUGGCUAUAUGGUUUGGUCUCGUAUGACCGAUGGAAACACCGAUAAAAAACAAGAUAAAUCUCACAAUUCGGUGAAAAUGGGUAUUUACUAUUUACUUAUUUAGAUAUUCGAAAAAGUCAAACACAAAAAAAAAACGCAUUAUUUUUGAAAACGGCAUUAGUUUUUUUCUCCUUGUCAAUUCUUUCAUAAUGAGCUCCUCUGGGACGUCCUCAAUUGCAUUAGGCGGUGGAUCCGCUGAGGCAGCUGCUGCCAAAAGCACCUCAAAGCGUCCAAAAUAUUCAAGAUUUACCCAACAGGAGCUUCCAGCAUGCAAACCCAUUCUUACUCCAAAAUGGGUGAUUCUGACUUUUCUUGUCUCAGGGGUUGUCUUUAUUCCUCUUGGAGUGAUUUGCCUAUUUGCUUCUCAGGGUGUCAUCGAAAUUGUUUAUCGAUAUGACAUAGACUGCAUUCCAUUAUCCUCUAGGGACAACAAAGUCAGAUACAUACAGGGCUUAGAAGAUAAGAGGUGUAACAGAACAAUAAUGGUGACAAAAACUAUGAAGAAUCCGGUGUAUGUAUAUUACCAGCUUGAGAACUAUUACCAAAACCAUCGACGGUAUGUGAAAAGUCGACAAGAUGGACAAUUGAGAAGUCCGAAAGAUGAGCACGAUGUGAAAUCAUGUGCGCCCGAGGAUACUAUAGAUGGUGAACCCAUUGUUCCUUGUGGUCUUGUUGCUUGGAGUUUGUUCAAUGAUACUUAUGACUUCACUAGAAACAAUCAAAAACUCCCUGUGAAUAAGAAAGGCAUCUCAUGGAAGAGUGAUAGAGAAUCAAAGUUUGGUAAAAAUGUCUUCCCGAAAAAUUUCCAGAAAGGAUCUCCCAUCGGCGGUAAAAGUCUUGAUCCUGAUGUUCCAUUAAGUGAACAAGAAGAUCUAAUUGUCUGGAUGCGAACUGCGGCUCUACCAACAUUUAGAAAGCUGUACGGUAAAAUAGAUACUGAUCUUCAAGCCGGAGAUACGAUAAAGGUCUUGUUACAGAACAAUUACAACACUUAUAGCUUCAAUGGAAAGAAGAAGCUUGUGCUCUCUACCACUAGCUGGCUCGGUGGAAGGAAUGAUUUCCUUGGGAUUGCGUAUUUGACUGUUGGUAGCAUAUGCUUGUUCUUGGCUGUUUCCUUCUCUGUCUUGUAUCUAGCAAAACCAAGGCAAUUGGGAGAUCCAUCGUACUUGUCAUGGAACAGAAGUGCUGGAGGUGGACGAUGAUAAGAGUUGUUUUAAGCUCUUGUUUGUUGUUUCUGGGAUCUGUCACUUACUUCUCCUUCUAUUGCUCAAAGUUUGUUGGGAACUAACUAAAUUAAACGCUGCGACCACGGUGUAAAGGUUGGUAUCACUGGGUCAGGAACCCAUAUGUAUGUAUUGUCAGAAUCAUGCAUAAUGGACAUGAGAGGUUGAAACU